CUGACUGUUCCUUCUCUUUACUUUGGUGGGUAUUUUAGGAGAUGCUUGCUGGGUUCAAGAUUGUCUCAAUCCAUUGCGAUCAGCAGAGGUUUUCUCGGAUUGGUAAUAUUAGCUGCUGGAGUUGUGUGGGUUUACAUGUUCUACUGUAAGAACAUUGCAAAUAAAAAUUCCGAGAGUAAUCCAUCUGAUCCAUCAGCACAAGUUGAAGUGAGUAAGGAUGCUUGUGGUAGCCCAACUGAACCGCAGAGAGCAAGACAUUUUAUGUUAAAAGAGUUGGAACAAACAACCAACAGUUUUGAUGAACACAAUAUCAUAGGCAAGGGAAGUUUUGGCUCAGUGUAUAAGGGUUUGCUUUGUGAUGUCAUUGUUGUAGCAAUUAAGACACACCAGGGACCUCCAAAAAAAGAGUUCAUCAAAGAGUCAAAGCAGGUUCAUUGUUUCUCUAAUUGGUUACUGCCAAGAAGCUGGUCUACAAAUGCUAGCUUUUGAAUAUCUCCCAGAUAUAAGCAUAAGUAAUCAUCUAUAUGAUACUGGGGGAGAAGCAAUGACUAGGCUUGAAUAUAAACAAGGGCUUUCUAUAGCUCUAGGUGCAACUAAAGGUUUGUGUCAUUUACAUGGACAAAUACCGCCAAUUGUACACAUCAACUCCAAAACAAAGAAUGUACUAUCGAUGAAAAUUUCUCUCUAAGGUAGCAAAUUUGGGGUAUUUAUAAUCUGCUCCGAAGGAUUGAAGAUGCAGGGCCAUCUCAAAAAUCUGAUAUUUGCGUCUUCCAAGAUCCUGAGUAAGAGCAAGUGCAUCAAGCUUCCAGUUCGGAGUCCUGGUCAGCAAGCUCUUAAGAGCU